rnacentral:rRNA from 1 species
UACGUAGGGUGCGAGCGUUAAUCGGAAUUACUGGGCGUAAAGCGUGCGCAGGCGGUUGUGCAAGACAGAGGUGAAAUCCCCGAGCUUAACCUGGGAACUGCCUUUGUGACUGCACGGCUAGAGUGUGUCAGAGGGGGGUAGAAUUCCACGUGUAGCAGUGAAAUGCGUAGAGAUGUGGAGGAAUACCGAUGGCGAAGGCAGCCCCCUGGGAUAACACUGACGCUCAUGCACGAAAGCGUGGGGAGCAAACAGG